GUGAGGAAUAUUGGUCAAUGGGCGAGAGCCUGAACCAGCCAAAUCGCGUGAAGGAUGAAGGUAUUAUGUAUUGUAAACUUCUUUUAUCGGGGAAUAAAGUGCGGGACGUGUCCCGUUUUGUAUGUACCCGAAGAAUAAGGAUCGGCUAACUCCGUGCCAGCAGCCGCGGUAAUACGGAGGAUCCAAGCGUUAUCCGGAUUUAUUGGGUUUAAAGGGUGCGUAGGCGGACUGUCAAGUAAGCGGUGAAAGUCCAUGGCUCAACCAUGGAAUUGCCGUUGAAACUGUCGGUCUUGAGUGUAGAUGAGGUAGGCGGAAUUCGUAGUGUAGCGGUGAAAUGCUUAGAUAUUACGAAGAACUCCAAUUGCGUAGGCAGCUUACCAGGCUACAACUGACGCUGAGGCACGAAGGUGCGGGGAUCAAACAGGAUUAGAAACCCGGGUAGUCC
rnacentral:rRNA from 1 species